UACGGAGGGGCUAGCGUUGUUCGGAAUUACUGGGCGUAAAGCGCACGUAGGCGGCUUUGUAAGUUAGAGGUGAAAGCCCAGGGCUUAACCCUGGAAUUGCCUUAAGACUGCAUCGCUCGAAUUGUGGAGAGGUGAGUGGAAUUCCGAGUGUAGAGGUGAAAUUCGUAGAUAUUCGGAAGAACACCAGUGGCGAAGGCGACUCACUGGACACAUAUUGACGCUGAGGUGCGAAAGCGUGGGGAGCAACAGG
rnacentral:rRNA from 1 species